GAGAGUUAAACAGUACGUGAAAUUGCUGAAAGGGAAACGCUUGAAGUCAGUCGCGUUGUCCGGAACUCAGCCUUGCUUUUGCUUGGUGCACUUUCCGGAUGACGGGUCAGCAUCGAUUUUGACCGUCGGAAAAGGGCUGGAGUAAUGUGGCACCUCCGGGUGUGUUAUAGACUCUGGUCGCAUACGACGGUUGGGAUCGAGGAACGCAGCGCGCCGCAAGGCAGGGGUUCGCCCACUUUCGCGCUUAGGAUGCUGGCAUAAUGGCUUUAAACGACCCGUCUUGAAACACGGACCAAGGAGUCUAACAUACCUGCGAGUGUUUGGGUGGAAAACCCGAGCGCGUAAUGAAAGUGAAAGUUGAGAUCCCUGUCGUGGGGAGCACCGACGCCCGGACCUGACGUUUUCUGACGGAUCCGCGGUAGAGCAUGUAUGUUGGGACCCGAAAGAUGGUGAACUAUGCCUGAAUAGGGUGAAGCCAGAGGAAACUCUGGUGGAGGCUCGUAGCGAUUCUGACGUGCAAAUCGAUCGUCAAAUUUGGGUAUAGGGGCGAAA
rnacentral:rRNA from 1 species